GACGAACGCUGGCGGCGUGCUUAACACAUGCAAGUCGAACGGAAAGGCCUGCUUUCCCUCGUGGAUUGCGGGUACUCGAGUGGCGAACGGGUGAGUAACACGUGAGUGAUCUGCCCCCAACUUGGGUAUAAGCCUGGGAAACUGGGUCUAAUUCCCGAUAGGACUGCAGGGUGGUGCCUGUGGUGGAAAACGAUUUUCUAGUGGUUGGGGAUGAGCUCGCGGCCUAUCAGCUUGUUGGUGGGGUAAUGGCCUACCAAGGCGGCGACGGGUAGCCGGCCUGAGAGGGUGGACGGCCACAUUGGGACUGAGAUACGGCCCAGACUCCGACGGGAGGCAGCAGUGGGGAAUAUUGCACAAUGGGCGGAAGCCUGAUGCAGCGACGCAGCGUGGGGGAUGACGGCCUUCGGGUUGUAAACUCCUUUCGACCGCGAGGAAGCCACCUGGUUGGAAGGGUGGUGACGGUAGUGGUAGAAGAAGCACCGGCUAACUACGUG
rnacentral:rRNA from 1 species